rnacentral:rRNA from 1 species
CUAACACAUUCAAGUCGAACGGAGUUAUUACGAAUGAAGUUUUCGGAUGGAUUUUGUUUUAACUUAGUGGCGGACGGGUGAGUAACGCGUGAGCAACCUGCCUUUGCAUUCGGGAUAACAGCUGGAAACGACUGCUAAUACCGAAUAACGUACAUUGAUUGCAUGUUUAAUGUACCAAAGAUCCGUCGUGCAAAGAUGGGCUCGCGUCUGAUUAGAUAGUUGGUGAGGUAACGGCUCACCAAGUCAACGAUCAGAAGCAGGACUGAGAGGUUGAACGGCCACAUUGGAACUGCGAUACGGUCCAGACUCCUACGGGAGGCAGCAGUUGGGAAUAUUGGGCAAUGGGCGAAAGCCUGACCCAGCGACGCCGCGUGAGGGAAGAAGGUCUUCGGAUUGUAAACCUCUGUUGAUAGGGAAGAAGAAAGUGACGGUACCUAUCGAGGAAGUCACGGCUAACUACGUGCCAGCCGCCGCAGUAACAC